rnacentral:sRNA from 1 species
UGCGUUUGUGAUUCUGGUUCAAUCUGUACACGUUGGAACGAAACUUGUAAGUUUUUAAAAUAACGAAUCCCUUAGAAGAAUGAGUUUCUAACACCAAACCUCAGACAAUAAUUGAAUAGUUCAAGGAAAUAUAGUAAUUAUGCUCAAUAAACACAGUCUAAAUCUAAUAUAAUCCAUUAAACAUCAAUUUCCUGAUCGAUUCAAGGGGUUCAUAAUUGACAAGUUGAAACAAAACAACUCUUUUAAGUUUACCUCAACCAGAGUUGUGACACUCCUGAAUACUAAAAGAUAUAACCCCAAUCUGAAAGAUGUUAAAUGAUCCAUGACUUUUUGUUGAUUUGCAAUGGGGUGGGCAGUGGUUUGAAGGCUACUGUAACAAGAAAAGCCUAAUAAAAGUUAUCUUAUUUUUUGUUUUAUGUUACAGAAAUGAUCUUCUUUUAACAUGUCUAACGUGCCCCUUCAACGAAGAGCUCUUUAGGUUUGAACUGUGGACAGUGCACAACCCACCAACCUUGUGUUGCAAUUCAAAUUUUUAAACGGAUGAAGGGAUUUAUGAGGGUCAGACUUU